ensembl:lncRNA
AUGAGUCUCGUUGUACUAGUUUUGAGUCUUGUUGUAGUAGUUUUGAGUGUCUUUGUUUGAGUCUCGUUGUAGUAGUUUUGAAUCUUGUAGUAGUUUUGAGUCUCUUUUUUUGAGUCUCGUACUACUUUUGAGUCUUGUUGUAGUAGUUUUGAGUCUCGUUGUACUAGUUUUAAGUCUUGUUGUAGUAGUUUUGAGUCUCAUUGUAGUAGUUUUGAGUUUCGUAGUAGUUUUGACUCUUGUUGUAGUAGUUUUGAGUCUCUUUGUUUGAGUGUUGUUGUAGUAGUUUUGAGUCUUGUAGUAGUUUUGAGUCUCUUUGUUUGAGUCUUGUGGUAGUAGUUUUGAGUCUCGUAGUAGUUUUAAGUCUCGUUGUAGUAGUUCUGAGUCUUGUGUGGUGGUUUUGUUUUUCUUUGUUUGAGUCUUGUUGUAGUAGUUUUGAGUCUCGUUGUAGUAGUUUUGAGUCUCUUUGUUUGAGUCUCGUUGUAGUAGUUUUGAGUCUUGUUGUAGUAGUUUUGAGUCUCGUAGUAGUUUUGAGUCUCGUUGUAGUAGUUUUGAGUCUCUUUGUUUGAGUCUCGUUGUAGUAGUUUUGAGUCUUGUUGUAGUAGUUUUGAGUCUCUUUGUUUGAGUCUCGUUGUAGUAGUUUUGAGUCUUGUUGUAGUAGUUUUGAGUCUCAUUGUAGUAGUUUUGAGUUUUGUAGUAGUUUUGAGUUUUGUAGUAGUUUUGACUCUUGUUGUAGUAGUUUUGAGUCUCUUUGUUUGAGUCUUGUUGUAGUAGUUUUGAGUCUCGUAGUAGUUUGGAGUCUCAUUGUAGUAGUUUUGAGUCUCUUUGUUUGAGUCUUGUUGUAGUAGUUUUGAGUCUCGCAGUAGUUUUGAGUGUCGUAGUAGUUUUGACUCUUGUUGUAGUAGUUCUGAGUCUUGUGUGGUGGUUUUGUUUCUCUUUGUUGUGGUUUAGAAUCAUUUGUUUUGGUUUUGUGUCUCUUUGAAGUUGAAUCUAUUUGUAGCCGUGUUGUUUCUCUUUGUAGUGGUGUUAUUUUUCUUUGAAGGCCUUUCAAGUCCUGGUUGUUUGGUGUCUAUUUGACAUUUUGUAGGUGAAGGCCAGAGGUAUCGGUGGGGGUGGUGGGGGGGGGGGGUGUUGAUCCAUAAUCAAUCAACGUUGGCAGCCAUGUUUAGUACACGAUAGCAGACGAGCCCACAGAAUCGCGAUGCUCCUGAUGACCUGACAGGACGUCACCUUGAGUUCACAGCCAGCUGUGUGUGUGUGAUUGAUCAGGAUCCAGGAACGAACAGCUGGCUGCCUAAUGACCCGUCAGCAGAAAACCAAUAAUCAAUGCGGCCAAAGGAAAUACUCUUCUAAGUAGGGAAACCGGUCCAGGUGGAGUGCAUCUCCACGUACUCACAAAGUAUGCAGCCGAUGAGUAUUAUGAACUUCCAUCAGGAAGGAUAAAGGUCGAUACUCUGUAACUUUAGUGGCUCGACUGAAAAGCGGCAUUUUGUCCACAUUUCCCUUUUACAUUUGAG